rnacentral:rRNA from 1 species
CCUACGGGCGGCAGCAGUGGGGAAUAUUGGACAAUGGGGGCAACCCUGAUCCAGCCAUGCCGCGUGUGUGAAGAAGGCCCUCGGGGUGUAAAGCACUUUCAGUGAGGAAGAACGCCUGGUGGUUAAUACCCAUCAGGAAAGACAUCACUCACAGAAGAAGCACCGGCUAACUCCGUGCCAGCAGCCGCGGUAAUACGGAGGGUGCGAGCGUUAAUCGGAAUUACUGGGCGUAAAGCGCGCGUAGGUGGCUUGAUAAGCCGGUUGUGAAAGCCCCGGGCUCAACCUGGGAACGGCAUCCGGAACUGUCAAGCUAGAGUGCAGGAGAGGAAGGUAGAAUUCCCGGUGUAGCGGUGAAAUGCGUAGAGAUCGGGAGGAAUACCAGUGGCGAAGGCGGCCUUCUGGACUGACACUGACACUGAGGUGCGAAAGCGUGGGUAGCAAACAGGAUUAGAUACCCGGGUAGUC